GGGAGGCCGGGCCGAGGUCGCGCCCCAGGCCCAGGCCCGCCCUCACUUGGAGAAUUGCGCCUGCACCGCGGCCAGGCCCAGGCUGGCCGGGACCAGGUGCGGGAACUUGUGAAGCACAAGACGACUGCAUGCUUUUGACCAUAGGCACAGGAACGAAAAGUCUCACUCACUUGACACUCUCUGGGAUAUAAGAAGUGCUACCAUUUCUUGAAAGGAGAUUAGGAAGCAGCCCUGGGAAACCCUGGUAACUUUGUGGAAAUCGGCACUCUCCAUUUCCCUGCUGAACUGUCAGUGUUGCCGUGCUGUUGGUGGUCUUGGACCACCGAGAUCAUAUUAAUACCAACAACAAGCCAGCAACUCAGAGGGCUAAUGACCAAUGAUUUAGAGAAUCAACCUGGGACAGGGCCAUAUAAGACUACAAAAC
rnacentral:lncRNA from 1 species